rnacentral:rRNA from 1 species
GACGAACGCUGGCGGCGUGCUUAACACAUGCAAGUCGAACGGAAAGGCCCUGCUUUUGUGGGGUGCUCGAGUGGCGAACGGGUGAGUAACACGUGAGUAACCUGCCCUUGACUUUGGGAUAACUUCAGGAAACUGGGGCUAAUACCGGAUAGGAGCUCCUGCUGCAUGGUGGGGGUUGGAAAGUUUCGGCGGUUGGGGAUGGACUCGCGGCUUAUCAGCUUGUUGGUGGGGUAGUGGCUUACCAAGGCUUUGACGGGUAGCCGGCCUGAGAGGGUGACCGGCCACAUUGGGACUGAGAUACGGCCCAGACUCCUACGGGAGGCAGCAGUGGGGAAUAUUGCACAAUGGGCGGAAGCCGGAUGCAGCAACGCCGCGUGCGGGAUGACGGCCUUCGGGUUGUAAACCGCUUUCGCCUGUGACGAAGCGUGAGUGACGGUAAUGGGUAAAGAAGCACCGGCUAACUACGUGCCAGCAGCCGCGGUGAUACGUAGGGUGCGAGCGUUGUCCGGAUUUAUUGGGCGUAAAGGGCUCGUAGGUGGUUGAUCGCGUCGGAAGUGUAAUCUUGGGGCUUAACCCUGAGCGUGCUUUCGAUACGGGUUGACUUGAGGAAGGUAGGGGAGAAUGGAAUUCCUGGUGGAGCGGUGGAAUGCGCAGAUAUCAGGAGGAACACCAGUGGCGAAGGCGGUUCUCUGGGCCUUUCCUGACGCUGAGGAGCGAAAGCGUGGGGAGCGAACAGGCUUAGAUACCCUGGUAGUCCACGCUGUAAACGGUGGGUACUAGGUGUGGGGUCCAUUCCACGGGUUCCGUGCCGUAGCUAACGCUUUAAGUACCCCGCCUGGGGAGUACGGCCGCAAGGCUAAAACUCAAAGGAAUUGACGGGGCCCCGCACAAGCGGCGGAGCAUGCGGAUUAAUUCGAUGCAACGCGUAGAACCUUACCUGGGUUUGACAUGGAUCGGGAGCGCUCAGAGAUGGGUGUGCCUCUUUUGGGGUCGGUUCACAGGUGGUGCAUGGCUGUCGUCAGCUCGUGUCGUGAGAUGUUGGGUUAAGUUCCGCAACGAGCGCAACCCUUGUUCACUGUUGCCAGCACGUUAUGGUGGGGACUCAGUGGAGACCGCCGGGGUCAACUCGGAGGAAGGUGGGGAUGACGUCAAGUCAUCAUGCCCCUUAUGUCCAGGGCUUCACGCAUGCUACAAUGGCUGGUACAGAGAGUGGCGAGCCUGUGAGGGUGAGCGAAUCUCGGAAAGCCGGUCUCAGUUCGGAUUGGGGUCUGCAACUCGACCUCAUGAAGUCGGAGUCGCUAGUAAUCGCAGAUCAGCAACGCUGCGGUGAAUACGUUCCCGGG